rnacentral:lncRNA from 1 species
UGAUACGGGUGCGGGUGGCCCGAUCUUUCGAUGAGAUUGAUAACUCUCGAUUUGUGUAGGAGGUGACGUUGACGAUCCGACUACGGCCUAGGAGGCAGCGCCUUAGCAAUCGAUACACCAACUCCAGAGGGUUAUUGAUCACGCGGGGGCACGAUCAACCUGACCACGAAGGUCUUUGUUCCUGCAAGCAAUCGAAGAACAAGCAAGAACAAGAUAAAUAGCGGAUGCAAUCUAAAAUUGCGAAUAUACUAUAUCAAACCAAUGUCUCAAGGAGACGAUAAGUUGGGGUUCCGAAAGCGGUAAAACAGGUGGUCUAACCGACACACGCGAUUACACGAAGUAGUAGCGAUGGCUAACUUUUAACUAAACAAAACCCAAGGCUCCUUAGGGGGGCUCAUGGGGUAUAUAAAGGAGGAGGGAGAGAUAUUUUCGUCCACCUUGAAUAAGGAGUCCGAAAUCCAACUCUAUCUCUAACUUUCCUAACAAACUACAACUCUUUAGGAAACAGAAAAACAGAUCCGUCAGCUUGUUUUGUCCGCCACGGUCAGCACGAGUCGAAUCUCUUGAUGGGGCCAGAUCCGUUGGGAAGGUCUUGUAAUUACCUUUCCAACAAGUACUUGUUUGCUUGAUUUGGACUCCGGAUGCGGCCUGGGUGAUUAAAACAAAUUCGGGUCUCCUGGCAGCUCGGACCCGAAUCGGAUUCCACUUUAAUUCGUGAUGUCUUUCUCUAGCAAGCUCCGAAUCAUGUGCCGUUUGAUUUCUUGGAAAGUAGACUUGAUAGGCUUCACUUUGAAUCUCCCUUUGCAGGCUAUCACACUUCAUCUUCACUUUGGAUUUGUAAAGUUCAUUAAGAUGCCUACAUAAUAAGAUUACACAAGAUAGUAGCUCCGCCUCAUUGCAAGUAACAUAUUGAAAACAUUUUGUAAUUGAAUUCACCUGAUUAUAAUUGUUAUUAGAUACACCAACAAUUAGGGUUCUAAUGGUCGUAUCCAUGGUGAUCAUGUCCAUAUCAAGUCGCCCCGCCACUCUUUUUUGAUCUUCUUCCUCGACCGAACGAUGAACUUCGACUUCAUCUGGUUGCGGGCGCGGAAAACCACCCCCGACGACAUUGCCUUCGCGUUGUCGAUGCGCGGGUAAAAGUAAUGGCGGAAGAGCCCCGCCGACGGCAUCACCCCCACGAACGCCUUGCAGAGGAACUGAAAGGUGGCGAGGAGGAAGAGCGAGGUGGGGUGGAGCUGCGCCACCCGCAACUGAUAAGACUCCAUCAGCGCGUGGAGGAACAGAGAGAAGGGCGGCACCAUGCCGCAGAGGAGGAAGCGCGUGAACACCCGGAAGUCGUUAUCCUGGUGUUCGACGCCCGCCGGGAAGAUCCGCGUCUCCCCGUGCUCGUUGAAGUUGGAGGCGACGGCGUGCCGGAGCUUCCCCAGCGCCUCGCCGUUGUAGCCGGGGCGGAAGAAGGCUACUUUUGCGCGCAUCUCCCGCCUCUUCUGGUCCUUGGCGGCGGCCACUUUGAGUGCCGCCUCGGUCUUGCAGGUCGCGGGCUUCUUCGAAGACCGGACCUCCUUCCCCUUCCUGGUGGUGGGGGGCGCAAUGGGGAGCGAGGGCGGAAGCUGGCAAGAGCGCAGGAUGCGAGAUGCGGAAGAGGAUGGAGGCGAAAAGGCAAAGUGUUGCUCCCCGUUGCCAACAAUGGAAGCUUUAUGACGCCCGGUCGUUUGGUAACGGCCGGUUCCGUACCCUACGGGUGCGCGGGGAUAACUCCUAAUCACUGGGAGUAAUGCGCGGAGGGGCCUUAACUACCCUAUUUAGGGGGGGGAGUUAGGGCGGAAAUCUCGCGCCCACUACUUUGCUUUUGGUGGCGCCGUACACGGGGCAGCGAAGGGACGCGGGCCCGCAACUGAUCGGGGGCCCACGCGUCGGUUAAGGGCGUAGCCCGGCAACCGACUAGGAAGAGACCCUUCCGGGAACUGGUGAUGCCGGCCCACGCCCGGGGGCUGCUGUCGCACCAGUGGCACCCGGGGUACAACCGCUGCGCGACGCGUGGGCCCCUCCCCCGGGUUCCCGGGAAGGUCUCAUCCCGGGGAGCGCCGACGAGCUUCCCGGCAAGCUACCAGCGCGAAAGGGGCUAGCGGGGCUUCUGGGAAUAUUCCUGCUUAGGCACCUCCCAGGAAACUGCUUCCCGGGAGGAGGUUCCCGGGUGCGCUGGGCCCGAGUGCUUCCCGGGCCGACUUGCAGGGACUGGGGGUUCCCGGACGCGUGCCCCCGCCUCGGGUCGUGAGGCCCACUGGACAGCGCCGCACGGGCGUGUGCCACGUGCGGAACGCGCGGUCCCACCAAGGCAAGGAGUAAGGCGCGCGGCUCAGUAAACGAGCCGACCGACGGGUAGUUACCCGUCCGAUCCAAGAAACAGUGGUUGUCAAUUCCUACCCUAUGGUCUUAGGCCCCUAGCAGCGGAGGUGGCGCCCAUGCAUGCCACCAGCUCACCAGGGAGAGUUGCGUGCCUCCCCGUUUGAUACGGGUGCGGGUGGCCCGAUCUUUCGAUGAGAUUGGUAACUCUCGAUUUGGGUAGGUGGUGACGUUGACGAUCCGACUACGGCCUAGGAGGCAGCGCCUUAGCAAUCGAUACACCAACUCCAAAGGGUUAUUGAUCACGCGGGGGCACGAUCAACCUGACCACGAAGGUCUUUGUUCCUGCAAGCAAUCGAAGAACAAGCAAGAACAAGAUAAAUAGCGGAUGCAAUCUAAAAUUGCGAAUAUACUAUAUCAAACCAAUGUCUCAAGGAGACGAUAAGUUGGGGUUCCGAAAGCGGUAAAACAGGUGGUCUAACCGACACACGCGAUUACACGAAGUAGUAGCGAUGGCUAACUUUUAACUAAACAAAACCCAAGGCUCCUUAGGGGGGCUCAUGGGGUAUAUAAAGGAGGAGGGAGAGAUAUUUUCGUCCACCUUGAAUGAGUCCGAAAUCCAACUCUAUCUCUAACUUUCCUAACAAACUACAACUCUUUAGGAAACAGAAAAACAGAUCCGUCAGCUUGUUUUGUCCGCCACGGUCAGCACGAGUCGAAUCUCUUGAUGGGGCC